AAAAUAAGUCAGUAUUUUUGUGGGUUGGGGCGUGCGAUCGAGAACAGAGGCCAAGGAAGAGCCAAAACCCUAACAUCCUAAAAUCAACAAAUUGAGAAGGAAAUUAAAGGCUAAUCGAUUGCAUGUGAUCAAUUUCUCAGUUAUCUAACGGUUCUCCAUCAUGGGGAGUUAUGUCAAUAGGGGCACAUAUAUUGGAAGCGCCACGGGUCGAAGGUAAACACGGAAGCUAUGUGUAAAUUCGGACGCACGAGGUAAGUAAACUCCCCGACCCCUCCUUAGUCGUUAAGAGAUUAAUUGUAUGAUAAGUGUUAGAAACUAUGUGAGAUGUUUUAUUGUCAUUGGUAACAAGUAUGGAACACUAAGGAAGUGAUUUCCGAAUCACUUCCUAGACCAUUUUAGGAAGGUUAUAUGUGAGUCACGUAAGUAUGAGUCACGUUAGUAUAGUAAUCUAAGUCUAUUUAGGAUUUGGUUAUUGUUUGAUGGUGUUUAUUAAGAAGACCGAACGGGUUAAAAUAAGGGUAUGUUCCAUUGCGAAACGUUUGUACACAUAAUGACGAAGAUAAUAUUUUAUUCGGUUAAUGUAAUAGUGUUACAGUAUUAAUGUUAUGCAAGUUUUGAGUGUACUCAUGUGAGAUCCUUGUCAAGGUCAUGAAUGGGUCGAAUAAUUAUGCAUAAGUAGAGUAUAGUUAAAGAAAUAUAGAUGGGUUUGAGACCCGGGGCAGGGACUUUUAGUUAGUUAUGUGAGGAAUAACUUUACGAACAAUUAGGAUUAAGUAUCAAGUGAUUCGGAUGUAAAACAGACGAGUUAAGGGAGUUUUAAGCACAAAACAGGAUGUACAUCUGGGCACCACCGUAGCUUACGUGUAACACCCCGAAAACGGGUUUGGUAAUCAAACCUCGUUAAUAGUAAAAACGGGUAAAAUACCGUUAGUGGUAAAAUUAACCCGUUGAAUAUUAUGACUUAAAUAAGAAAAAAAAAUGUGUAAUAUUUAUUAAAAGGAUGGGAAAUAGGGUUAAACUAACAAAACCUUAUGUUAAGCAAAAGUGAGGGGCUAUUAUUGUCAAAAACUAAACUUAAAUUACAAGUUUAGUAAAAACAAAAGCCAAACACCCCAAAACUACUCCCUGGUCGACCAGAGAAGAACCCAGGGGCGACACCCACCUUCCAAACCCUAGAUUUCACCUAAAGCUCACAAAUUGAAGCCCUUAAUCUGCUCUAAAUCAAGUUUCAAACACGGAUUAGUGAUCACCUCGUUGCGGGGAUCAAAAGGUAUGUAAAAUUUUGGUAUUUUGAUUCAUGUUCAGUUUUAGGUUAAUUGAGAAAAUCAAAAAUUGAGCAUGCAUGAUUGUUGUAUUGGUGAAAUUUGAAGCAAACUGAUGUUUAGAGACAAACCCUAGACGCAAACUUUUAGAAUUUUGCCACAAACUAGUGAUUAGCCAAUUACCCAAGUAUGAGCCAAGUGGGUUUUGCAUAUUAUGAUGAACACUUGAAUUAGAGUGUUAAAUUGAUGAAUAUUUGAUGUUAUGAUCCUAGUACUAGGUGUAAUUCAUGAACACUAGACUUGGAGGGUUGAUUUUGAUGUAAAUCUUGGUGAAAAUAACUAGUUAUGAACUAGUUAGUAAAUAUGUAAAACUAUGCACUUUAGGUGUUUGAUAAAAUGCCAAGGAGAAAGCCAAAUGUUGAAAUUUAGAACGAAACGCUUAUUUGAAUAGUAUGGCUAGUUAAAUGAAAUACGAAACAAGAAGAGUUCUAAUAAUCAUGUUGAUUUAGACUUAAUGUUGUAAACCAUGUGAUUGAAAGUAGUUAACCUUGAUAAACUAAGUUAACUAAUCAUGAAGUCGAAUAAUAGCUUCGACAUAGGAAAUUAAGUGAGGUGGAAAAGUCGUGAUUUUUAAAUGACUAACUUAACCGCCUUGCAAAUGAUGACAAUAGUUUGACGCUUGACAAGCUAGGUGGGAGCUUGUGGAUGAAGCGGGUCAAACGGAUCAAGAACGGAAGGAAAAGCAUGGCAUGGAUGCGAGGUAAGUAAAGCUUACACCCAUUUGUAGUAAACGUAUGUAUUUUAUAGAUGAUAAAUGUGACAACCGAUUACCUUCGAAAUUGAAGUUCCAACACUAAGCGAUAUGAGUCGGAACGAAUAAAAAUGAUCAAAACCAUGGUUAAUGGUAAAAUGGACAAAAGGGUAAUUUAGUCGUGAAUCGACUAAGAAUUUAUAAGAUUUCCUUAAGGUUACCUUAUAGCGAAACUAGAAAAAAAAGGGUAAAUUAGUCACAUGUUGACUAUAUGUAAGUUGGGAUUAAAAGAAUACUCGUGGUAUAAGCCAUAACGAGUUAAAUACGUAAGAAGAAUGAUUUUGUGGUUAAAACUUGAAAUGGGUCGGAUGUGUGAAUGGGAUAUCAAAAACCAUGUUUUGACAUAAGUAUAAAUGUUUGGUCAUAAAUACCAAAUGGGUCAAAUGGUGGUGAUGACACCAUUUGACAAUAUCGACUAAUGUUUGGUUGUUAAGUCAAAUGUUCACAGAAGUGAACGGGAAGUGGAUUUUUGCGUCGCUAUAAAGUAGCGGCUAAUAAAAGAAAGAUACAAAACGGGUCUAUAUGUUGACUCGAGCCAGGUGAAUGCCAAGAGUGCCCGGAUGAAGAUCAAGCUCGAAGGGGAACCGAACACAAUAAAAUCUAACACUCGGGAUUAAAGCUUCCGCACGGCGUUACGUCAUAUCUUUUAAACGGCGAACUUAUUUAUAUUACGUUGAAAGCUUUUAAGUUGUAAAAGUUUUUAGAUUACUCGCAUUUUCUAAGAAUACUUAAUCGUAACUUCAUGUUUAUUUUCGUUAAUUAUACGAAAACCUUUC
rnacentral:lncRNA from 1 species